AUUGAACGCUGGCGGCAGGCCUAACACAUGCAAGUCGAGCGGAAACGAGUUAUCUGAACCUUCGGGGAACGAUAACGGCGUCGAGCGGCGGACGGGUGAGUAAUGCCUGGGAAAUUGCCCUGAUGUGGGGGAUAAACAUUGGAAACGAUGGCUAAUACCGCAUAAUGCCUUCGGGCCAAAGAGGGGGACCUUCGGGCCUCUCGCGUCAGGAUAUGCCCAGGUGGGAUUAGCUAGUUGGUGAGGUAAUGGCUCACCAAGGCGACGAUCCCUAGCUGGUCUGAGAGGAUGAUCAGCCACACUGGAACUGAGACACGGUCCAGACUCCUACGGGAGGCAGCAGUGGGGAAUAUUGCACAAUGGGCGCAAGCCUGAUGCAGCCAUGCCGCGUGUAUGAAGAAGGCCUUCGGGUUGUAAAGUACUUUCAGCAGUGAGGAAGGUGGUGUCGUUAAUAGCGGCAUCACUUGACGUUAGCUGCAGAAGAAGCACCGGCUAACUCCGUGCCAGCAGCCGCGGUAAUACGGAGGGUGCGAGCGUUAAUCGGAAUUACUGGGCGUAAAGCGCAUGCAGGUGGUUCGUUAAGUCAGAUGUGAAAGCCCGGGGCUCAACCUCGGAAUAGCAUUUGAAACUGGCGGACUAGAGUACUGUAGAGGGGGGUAGAAUUUCAGGUGUAGCGGUGAAAUGCGUAGAGAUCUGAAGGAAUACCGGUGGCGAAGGCGGCCCCCUGGACAGAUACUGACACUCAGAUGCGAAAGCGUGGGAGC
rnacentral:rRNA from 1 species